rnacentral:rRNA from 1 species
UACGUAGGGGGCUAGCGUUGUCCGGAAUCAUUGGGCGUAAAGAGCGUGUAGGCGGUCCGGUAAGUCCGCUGUGAAAGUCAAAGGCUCAACCUUUGAAUGCCGAUGGAUACUGUCGAGCUAGAGUCCGGAAGAGGCGGGUGGAAUUCCUGGUGUAGCGGUGGAAUGCGCAGAUAUCAGGAGGAACACCAACGGCGAAGGCAGCCCGCUGGGACGGUACUGACGCUAAGGCGCGAAAGCGUGGGGAGCGAACAGG